rnacentral:rRNA from 1 species
GAGCGGAUGACGGGAGCUUGCUCCUUGAUUCAGCGGCGGACGGGUGAGUAAUGCCUAGGAAUCUGCCUGGUAGUGGGGGACAACGUUUCGAAAGGAACGCUAAUACCGCAUACGUCCUACGGGAGAAAGCAGGGGACCUUCGGGCCUUGCGCUAUCAGAUGAGCCUAGGUCGGAUUAGCUAGUUGGUGGGGUAAUGGCUCACCAAGGCGACGAUCCGUAACUGGUCUGAGAGGAUGAUCAGUCACACUGGAACUGAGACACGGUCCAGACUCCUACGGGAGGCAGCAGUGGGGAAUAUUGGACAAUGGGCGAAAGCCUGAUCCAGCCAUGCCGCGUGUGUGAAGAAGGUCUUCGGAUUGUAAAGCACUUUAAGUUGGGAGGAAGGGCAGUAAGUUAAUACCUUGCUGUNUUGACGUUACCGACAGAAUAAGCACCGGCUAACUCUGUG